ensembl:lncRNA
AUGGUGUGUACUGAGAGAUCUGUCUGCAGAUGACUUCUGGGCGUGUGCUGAGGUGGUUUCAUGUGCUACUCCAGCAGAAAGAGACGUCUAUGCUGCUCUAGGGAUUGAACCGUGGAGCUUCAGAGGCAGUGUCAUCCUGCCUUAUGGUUGUGUUGCAGGUCAUUUAACUUUUUAACCAUCGACAUGAGUAAGUGUCACAGUGAGCUGACGCAGAAGGAGCAGGAGUUGCUGAAAAUUCGCCGAGACAGCGACACAAAGGCCGCCGAGCUUGUUAAAAUGGAGAAGAUGCUGCAGCAGACUAAGAGCCUGCUGGACAAGAAGACAGAGUCUAGUUCAGACAGCAUGGGCUACCAGGAGAACAUGGUGGAGGACCUGGAGGAAAAGGUGCGCUCCAGCAGGCGAUACAGGAGGAACUCCCUCCAUCACACACAGAUGCUUGAGAGUCAGAUGAAGACGGUGAAGGGUGAGCUGGUGGGCACGCUGGACCACCUCCAGGAGCUGAGGAACAUCCUGCGCCGCUCGCAGCAGAAAGCCGAAGAGCGUAAAGCUGCCAUGGAGAAGCUGGCAGCAGAACUCAGGUGAACAACCUGCUCCUUUUCAACCAGAUUGUAGCAUUUCCAGCUCCAACAUCCUCCAUCCUGCUGCACGAGGCUGUGCGUUGAGUACAAAUAGCCUCCUUUUUUGUCUUUAUUUUUAGUGUUAUAGAUUAAAGGCCAUAGCACAAUGAAUUUGACAGUAUCUUCUUUAUAUAAUCCUUAAAUAAUUUAAAUAAUCCAAAGAUGGGAAAUCACAGAACAGUCCAUUUUUAAUGCACCCAUCCCAGUCAAUGAAUAAUCUGUAAGUAAAUCCUGAAAAUCUGUACUCUCAUUCAGUUAUGAUUUAUUACAUUCUUCUUAUAUAUGAAACUUUGCUUGUAGGAGUAAAAAAAACAAGUCAUGUUGCAGUGUGAUAGAUCAGGAAGGACACAGCUGUAUUUCCUUUAGCGAUAUAAAAGUAUGCUGAGUGUGACUCUCUCUGGGAUCAAUAGCCUGUUGUCUGUUUCCUGUGGUGAGUCAUCUGAAUGCUUUAUUUGUAUCUUCCCUGCGGCUGCGAUGUGAUCACACCUCAUUCAGUCCGGCUUGUUUCACACAGUGUCACAUGCUGGGGAGCUAUGUGAGGGUUUCUUCCACUGACUACUGACCUAUAGACAUUAAACUCUAACUGGGGCAAAUCUGCUGGAUCUUGAUCAAUGCUUCCUGCUUCCUUGUCCGUUCUUUUUGUCCUCUGUAAGAGAUGAUUGUUGCGCCUGUAUAUGGAGUGUAUAUUUGUGAUCAAUAGAAAGUGAAACAAGAUAGUGGGACCACAAUAAACACACAAACAUGCAUCAAUACUCCCUGACAGAUUCAUUGUUUUGAGAGGAACCAGUGCAGAGGCAGAUGCAGGAGCUCACAGCUAAUGAGUCCACAGGGGGCACUGGAGCUUCUCAGAAAGCAGUGUAGCAAAGAAAACAAUCAGCAGGCUCUUCCUUUAUCAGACCACACACCGCUUGGAUUCAUUUGAUUAUAUAUAAGCAGGUACAGGUUAAUUAGGACAAUUAUCUUUAAAAUCUUACUGUCCUUUUGAAAAUGAUGAUAACACACUACUGGCUGUGCAAUUCUCACAUCUACAACAGUUAAAUCAAACUCUCUUCACUGUCAUGGUGACUGGGCAGUAAUGCUAAAAUGUGUUUGAUGUAUGGCAAGUUUGCUUUUUUGGACCAAAAGAAAAAAAGAUAAAAAAGUGAGUAUGACCUACAAAUUACAGCCUGUGUGCAGUUACUUCCUGUAGUCUCUGCUGGUUGCCUGGCAACCUCACAUGGAUGACAAGACACCAGAAAAGAGCAGCAGCAGU